UUAUUUACCCUGUAGGGGCGAGAUGAUGAUCAAGAAGGUGGUUUACCCAGGGCAAGGCUCGGCCAUCAAACUCGGGUUGUGCUGACCCCUGCGAAUUUCCCAAAUGUAAGAAUCAGGACUGUAUCAUUUCUGACAGUGGUGGACUGCAUUCACACUCUCCCCUG